CAGAAGUGCGAAUGCUGACAUAAGUAACGAUAAAGCGGGUGAAAAGCCCGCUCGCCGGAAGACCAAGGGUUCCUGUCCAACGUUAAUCGGGGCAGGGUGAGUCGACCCCUAAGGCGAGGCCGAAAGGCGUAGUCGAUGGGAAACAGGUUAAUAUUCCUGUACUUGGUGUUACUGCGAAGGGGGGACGGAGAAGGCUAUGUUGGCCGGGCGACGGUUGUCCCGGUUUAAGCGUGUAGGCUGGUUUUCCAGGCAAAUCCGGAAAAUCAAGGCUGAGGCGUGAUGACGAGGCACUACGGUGCUGAAGCAACAAAUGCCCUGCUUCCAGGAAAAGCCUCUAAGCAUCAGGUAACAUCAAAUCGUACCCCAAACCGACACAGGUGGUCAGGUAGAGAAUACCAAGGCGCUUGAGAGAACUCGGGUGAAGGAACUAGGCAAAAUGGUGCCGUAACUUCGGGAGAAGGCACGCUGAUAUGUAGGUGAAGUCCCUCGCGGAUGGAGCUGAAAUCAGUCGAAGAUACCAGCUGGCUGCAACUGUUUAUUAAAAACACAGCACUGUGCAAACACGAAAGUGGACGUAUACGGUGUGACGCCUGCCCGGUGCCGGAAGGUUAAUUGAUGGGGUUAGCGCAAGCGAAGCUCUUGAUCGAAGCCCCGGUAAACGGCGGCCGUAACUAUAACGGUCCUAAGGUAGCGAAAUUCCUUGUCGGGUAAGUUCCGACCUGCACGAAUGGCGUAAUGAUGGCCAGGCUGUCUCCACCCGAGACUCAGUGAAAUUGAACUCGCUGUGAAGAUGCAGUGUACCCGCGGCAAGACGGAAAGACCCCGUGAACCUUUACUAUAGCUUGACACUGAACAUUGAGCCUUGAUGUGUAGGAUAGGUGGGAGGCUUUGAAGUGUGGACGCCAGUCUGCAUGGAGCCGACCUUGAAAUACCACCCUUUAAUGUUUGAUGUUCUAACGUUGACCCGUAAUCCGGGUUGCGGACAGUGUCUGGUGGGUAGUUUGACUGGGGCGGUCUCCUCCUAAAGAGUAACGGAGGAGCACGAAGGUUGGCUAAUCCUGGUCGGACAUCAGGAGGUUAGUGCAAUGGCAUAAGCCAGCUUGACUGCGAGCGUGACGGCGCGAGCAGGUGCGAAAGCAGGUCAUAGUGAUCCGGUGGUUCUGAAUGGAAGGGCCAUCGCUCAACGGAUAAAAGGUACUCCGGGGAUAACAGGCUGAUACCGCCCAAGAGUUCAUAUCGACGGCGGUGUUUGGCACCUCGAUGUCGGCUCAUCACAUCCUGGGGCUGAAGUAGGUCCCAAGGGUAUGGCUGUUCGCCAUUUAAAGUGGUACGCGAGCUGGGUUUAGAACGUCGUGAGACAGUUCGGUCCCUAUCUGCCGUGGGCGCUGGAGAACUGAGGGGGGCUGCUCCUAGUACGAGAGGACCGGAGUGGACGCAUCACUGGUGUUCGGGUUGUCAUGCCAAUGGCACUGCCCGGUAGCUAAAUGCGGAAGAGAUAAGUGCUGAAAGCAUCUAAGCACGAAACUUGCCCCGAGAUGAGUUCUCCCUGACCCUUUAAGGGUCCUGAAGGAACGUUGAAGACGACGACGUUGAUAGGCCGGGUGUGUAAGCGCAGCGAUGCGUUGAGCUAACCGGUACUAAUGAACCGUGAGGCUUAACCUU
rnacentral:rRNA from 1 species